rnacentral:rRNA from 1 species
UACGUAGGAUGCAAGCGUUAUCCGGAUUUAUUGGGCGUAAAGCGUCCGUAGGUGGUUCAUCAAGUCUGCUGUCAAAGCGCGAGGCUUAACUUCGUACAGGCAGUGGAAACUGGUGGACUUGAGAGUGAUAGGGGCAGAGGGAAUUCCCAGUGUAGCGGUGAAAUGCGUAGAUAUCGUAAGGAAGACCAGUGGCGAAGGCGGGUCUCUGGACAGUUCCUGACGCUGAGGCACGAAGGCCAGGGGAGCAAACGGG